AGAGCGCGGCGCGGGGCGGGAGCUUGGUGGAGCAGGAGCGGCUGGGCAUCCUCCUGAGACUCCGGGGUCAGACGCCCACUCCAGAACACAAAGAGGGCCGGGCGCAGUGGCUCACACCUGUAAUCCCGGCACUUUGGGAGGCCCAGGCGGGUGGAUCACGAGGUCAGGAGUUCAAGACCAGCCUGGCCAAGAUGGUGUCUCUACUAAAAAUUCAAAAAUUAGCUGGGCGUGGUGGCUAGGCGCCUGUAAUCCCAGCUACUCGGGAGGCUGAGACGGAGAAUUGCUUGAACCCGGGAGGCGGAGGUUGCAGUGAGCCGAGAUUGCACCACUGCACUCCAGCCUGGGUGACAGAGCGAGAGUCUGUCUCAAAAAAAAAAACACACACAAAGAGCCUGGGCAUGGUGGCUCACACCUGUAAUCCCAACAUUUUGGGAGGCUGAGGCAGGUGGAUCACUUGAGGUCAGGAGUUCAAGACCAGCCUGACCAACAUGGCAAAACCCCAUCUCUACAAAAAUAUUCAAAAAUUAGCCAGGUGUGGUGGUGGGCACCUGUAAUCCUAGCUACUCAGGAGGCUGAGGCAGGAUAAUUGCUUGAACCCGGGAGGCGGAGGUUAGGAUGAGCAGGGAUCGUGCCACUGCACUCAAGCCUGGACGACAGAGUGAAGCUCCGUCUCAAAACAAAAAUCCCACAAAGAAUAAAAUCAAAUUUGUUUCAUGCAUCAUCUGUUUGCAAAACUCUGCCUUAAAAACUGCUACUGUACACGGUGAUUAUAUUCUCCGAUGAAUGGAAAAUUCUGAACUGUGAUGUAGAUAUUGUACAUUUUUCAUGAAAUGAAGUGGUAGAAAACAGAAAUUACUACUGGAAAUGAUCCCUUCUGACUGUCAAAUUCUGUUUUCUAUGAAGUGUGUGGUAUUUCAGCUAUACUGUAUUUUUUUUUUUUUUAUAGAGCCAACCAAGGACUCUUGUCACUAUUUUUAUUUAUUCUAAUGAGAAAUGUAUUCAUGGUUCCAGGUCAGUAUGUCAAAUGUCUAACUCCCUGUCUUAAAAAGGGAGUUCCCAAAUGACUGUUCAUAUAACCAUAUGUGUUUCUUGUGGAGACUGUCUGUAUUCUUGGCUUUGUCACUGGAUUUGUGGCUUAGUGCUGUCACGUUUCCUAUCUGAGGCAAAUGCCAUAUAUGUUUAGACCAGCCUUUCUCAAUUGUGGCACUUUUGCCAUUUUUGGCCAGUUAAAUUCUGUUGUGGGGGCUGUCCUGUGCAUUGCAGGAUGUUUAGCAGCAUCUCUGGCCUCUACCUACUAAAUGCCAGUGCACCCUCCCUGCAGUUAAAUGACCCCAAAUGUCUCCAGACAUAGGCAAAUGUUCCCCGGAGAACAAAGUCAUCUUUGGUUGAGGAACAAAAUGAACCUAUAUUUAAGAUGGUCUAAAUGUUUCUGAGAUGGUCUAAACAUUUAUAAGCUUAACAAUUAACUUGAAACUCUUCAGGACUAGAGAAGCUAUUUGUAAAUUUAAACAUCUGACGCCUUGAAACACCUUUAUCAUAAAGAUAACUAAACCAGUGUUCUUUGUGAAUGGCCAAUGUGUCCUGCCAGUUUCUUUUUUUUUCUUUUUCCUAUUCUGAGAAGCAUGCCCUGCCAGUUUCUAUCUCCAAAGAAAUUUCAAGCGUUCAGUGUAUUUGUUAAAUUUCAUAAAGUUUAAAAAGUUGAAAAUGAAAAAGGAAUUCUACGGUAGUUUUAAGUAGAAUUUAGUUUUAAGAAAAAUUAACCUCUUUUUAGCUAACAGCAAUAAAACGAAGACUGCUGUGUAUUUCUGUAAUCUGAAAAAUCUCGACUUUCUCAAAGGGAGCGCUACAUAAUGUAUGAUAUAAUUUAUAUCAGAAGAAAACAUGUCCUAGAAAUGUAACCCUCUUUCUUAGGACUUACAUGUGCUCAGGGAGGUUGAAAACAACCUUGAUUAUGGAGGAUGCCUCCUUAGCUGGGGAUUAGCUAUCCACUGUUCCCUUCCAGAAAUCAAACUAAUUUGUAAAACUCAGGACUGGCUACAUAAUUUGUGGGGCCCCUUGUUAAAAAAAUUAAGAAUUUGAACAUGGUGACCACAGAGCAUUAAGCCAAGCACGGCCCAGUGUGACUGCGUUGGUUGCCCACCCAUGAGCUGGCCCUGGUGAAACUCUUUAUUCAUAGCUAAGAGUAAGGUUGUGGUCACAAAUGCAAAUCUAAACCGUGAAAUGUUACUGCUGCCACUAGGCACCUGGAGUUUCUGCUUCCUUGAUUGUUCUUCUGUUUCCAAUGAGGAGUCUGCAUGUAUUUGGUCAUCAAUGCAAUAAUGUUACUAAGAAAUCCUCCCAUGAUUGAUUUUUCGUUUGCUAAAGAGGUAGCCAAAUGUUUGUUCAUUAGAGUCAUGGGUACUGGAGCAACCUAUUUAUUCAGGCAUUCAUUGAACAACUAUUUACUGAGCAUCUGUUAGAUGCCCGGCAUUGCUCGCUCCAGGGCCACAGCUGUGAACAAGAUGGAGGGUCCCUGCCUUUAUGAGCUUAUGAGCCAAACACAUAGUCACACCGGCUCAGGCUAUCACAAUCUUAAGUGGUACUUAGGAAAGCACAGGGUGUUAGGGGAGCAUGUGACCUUGAGACCUAACCUGGUUGAGGGGAGAGGGACUGUUCAGGGAAGACCUGCUUAAAAAAUGAUAUUUAAAAUAAGGCCUGGGGGCAGGUAUGGUGGCUCACACCUGUAAUCCUAGCACUUUGGGAGGCUGAGAUGGGAGAAUCGCUUGAGGCCAGGACUUUGAGACCAGCCAGGUCAACAUAGCGAGACUCCCAUCUCUUUUUUUGUUUUUUUUUUUUUUUGUAAAAAUAAUAAUAAAAAAAAGGCUGAAGGAUUAGUAGGAGUUAGUGAAGUACAUUAGGGGAUAAACUUAGAGGCUGAAAGAGUUGAGAUCAAGAGUAAAAUAUGUCUUGGGUCAUUUUUAGGAUUUUGGACUUUAAUGUCAGCAUAGUGGAAACCCACUUUUUGUUUGUUUGUUUGUUGCAGACAGGGUCUCACUCUGUUGCCCAGGUUGGAAUGCAGUGGCACCAUCUUGGCUCACUGCAACCUCCACCUCCCAGGCUCAGGUGAUCCUCCCACCUCAGCCUCCUGAGUAGCUGGGACUACAGGCACACGCCACUAUGCCUGAGUAAUUUUUGUAUUUUUAAUGGAGAUGGGGUUUUGCCAUGUUGCCCAGGCUGGUCUCAAACUCCCGAGCUCAAGCGAUCUGCCCACAUUGGCCUCCCAGAGUGCUGGGAUUACAGGUGUAAGCCACCAUCCCUGGCCACUAAAGUGUUUUUGAUUUGUGGUUGUUUUGUUUGUUGAAGACAGUGUCUCACUUUGUUGUCCAGGUUGGAGUGCAGUGGCUAUUCACAGGUGAGAUCAUAGCACACUUCAGUUGAACUCCUAGGCUCAAGUGAUCCUCCCACUUCAGCCUCUCAAGUAGUUGAGACUAUAGGCAUGGGCUACCAUAUCUGACUAGAAGUAGUUUUAUUUUAAACCCAUCAAGUCCUGAGUCCUUCAUGUUUUCUCUAAAUUCUACUUAAAAAUUGAAUAUACUUCUUUAGUUCAUCUCUCUCACAUUUUCUCAAAGGCAGAUACUGGGCCAGAUAGCACUUCCUACAUUCUUCUCAGAAAUGUUCUUAGGCAGAUCCCUGAUAUGGUGAAAUAUCCUCUCAAUUUUCCUUGUUAGGGCAGGCAGUAGUGUUGCUCACAUUCCUCCAGUUCAUUUUCUCCAGUUUCCAAUGAGAUUUUUUUGUUUUUGAGACAGUCUUGCUAUGUUGCUCGGGCUGGAGUGCAGUGGCUAUUCACAGGAGCAAUCAUAGCACACUGCCAUCAAACUCCUGGGCUCAAGUGAUCCUCCUGCCUCAGCCUCCCUUGUAGCUGGGACUGCAUAGGCCCUGCUGUGCCUGACUCUGAUUUGAGUUUUUUUUUUUUUAUUUUUUUUUAGACGGAGCCUUGCUCUGUCACCCAGACUGGAGUGCAAUGGUGCAAUCUCGGCUCACUGCAACCUCUGCCCCAAGUAGCUGGAAUUAGAUGUGCGUCACCACACCCAGAUAAUUUUUGUAUUUUUAGUAGAGACGGGGUUUCAGCAUAUUGGCCAGGCUGGUCUUGAACUCCUGACCUCAAGUGAUCCUCUCACCUCGGCCUCCCAAAGUCCUAGGAUUACAGGUGUGAGCCACCGCACCUGGCCUAAUUUGAGUUUGUAAAAUGAUCGCUGUUGCUGUGUAGAGAAUAGUUUAGAGAGGUAGGUCCUGCUGGCACGUUUGGUGUCUUUGUGCAAACCCAAGAAAGGCUUCUAUUCUGUGUGGACCAAUUAGAAAAAAUGCACCACUGUGUCCCAGCUAGGCCAGGUCAAAAGGCUUCAGCCCCCUGAGCCAGACUUGUUACGCAGGCACAGCCUGUGCAAUCAUGUGGCCACCCUGGGGAGGAGGAGGGUGGAUGUGAACAAACAGUGCUUUUGCAGUCACCCAGUGAUGGCGUAGCAGCACUGGAUAACGCUUAAUGACAGGUGAGGAUUGAGAUUGAGUGAGAUUGGGUUUGUAGUUAAAAUCAGCAAGAAGGUGGUGAUUAUUUGGAUAUGGUUGAUGGAGAGGGAGGUAGCAAGGAUGAUUCAAAAGUUUCUGGCAUAAACAACUGAGUAGGAUGGGAUGGUGGAACCAUUAUGGUGAUUGAGAACACAGGAGGAGGAGCGGGUUGGCACGAGGUGUGGGAGGGAAGAUAAUGCCUUUUUGGAUGUGUGUUUUGUUUGUGAGACAUCCAAGUAAAGAUGAGGAGUAGACAGUUGCUACUCCUGGAAGAGAUCUGGGGUGGAGAUACAUGUUUGGGAGCUGUUGCAUGUAAGUAUUACUGCAUAAAAAGCACUCAUCCAAAGAGGGUGUAGAAUGAGAAAAGAAAAGGGCUGGACCCGUAGAGUUUGAUCACUGUAUUUGGUAGAGGAAGAGAGGCCUGUUAAGGGUACUGAGAAGUGUGAUAUUCAUGCAGGGCAGGGAGGAAAUGAGGGGUCUAUGAUGUUUUGUUUUGUUUCAGAUUGAGAUGGAAGAAAUUUAAACAUGCUCUAAUGCUACUGGGAUUUUGUUUGUUUUGUUUUUGACAGGAUCUCUCUCCAUUGCCCAGGCUGGAGUGCAGUGGCACAAUCUUAGCUCACUGCAACCUCCACCCUCUGGGGCUCAUGCCAUCCUCUCACCUCAGCCUUCAAGUAGCACCAAGGGUGUACAGCACUACGCCUGGCUAAUUUUUGUAUUCUUUUUCUAGAGACGGGUCUCACCAUCUGUGUUGUCCAGGCUGGUCUCAAAUUCCUGAGCUGAGGCAAUCUGCCCACCUUGGCUUCCCAAAGUGUGGGAUUAUAGGCAUGAGCCACUGUGUCUGGCCACUACUGGGAAUUUUCUGGUAGAGAGGAAGAGCCUAAAGAUGCAGGAGGGUAAAAUAAAUGAUAGGACCAGUUUUCAGAGAGGGUGAGAACACAGUGCAGAAUUUGGUCUUUGAUGGAAGGACGGAGGGAGAGGAUGGAUAAAGAUGCUUUAGAUUUUGGGUCCAGAAUCGUGAGGACUUUUUCUGAAGGAAGUGGCAAAACCAUUGGCUGAGUUUGGGGUGUGUCUGUGUGUGCAGUCAGAUAUUUCUUCAGCCAGCAUUUAGUAAGCAUUUUCUAGUGCCAAGCUUUGUGUUUGGCUCCCUGGAAAGUGUUAUGAAUGAUGAUUACCUUGAAGCUUGGCCCUGUACACCUGAAAUAGCCUUGCACCACUUUUUCUACAAAUUGCUUCCUACCUUUGACCUUACAGGCUUGUUAACUAAAGGCAGUAAAUGCUCAGCUGAUCUUUUUUUUUUUUCUUUGAGAUGGAGUCUUGCUCUGUUGCCCAGGCUGGAGUGCAGUGGCACGAUCUCAGCUCACUGCAACCUACGCCUCCCAGGUUCAAGCGAUUCUCCUGCCUCAGCCUCCCAAGUAUCUGGGACUACAGGCACCCGCCACCGCGCCCAGCUAAUUUUUUGUAUUUUUAGUAGAGAUGGGGUUUCACCGUGUUAGCCAGGAUGGUCUCAAUCUCCUGACCUAGUGAUCCACCCGCCUUGGCCUCCCAAAGUGCUGGGAUUACAGGCGUGAGCCACCUCACCCAGCCUCAGCUGAUCUUUUGAUGGGCAUCAAAGCCACUAGGGGUGACAGUCCUGGAGGGGAAGGACCUUUUCAAGCCCCUUCCACAUCAUGCAGGUUCAUGUUCCAUGUCAUGGUUCUCGGUGUUGGCUAUACAUUAGGAACACCUGUGGAACUUUUAAAAAAACCUGACACCCAGGUCAAACUCUAUAUCAAUUCCAUCAAAUCUCUGGUAGGGGGACUCGUUAUUGGUCCUUUUUGAAAGCUCCCUGGUGGUUGCAGUGUACAAACCAGAUUGAGAGCUACUUGCCUGUUGAGUGGCCCUGAGUCCAGUUAAAGCCACUCUUCUGUGUUGAGCUCCAGCCCCUGCUGCCUGGAGUUUACUGCAUUUGUCAGUUGUGUGGAACAGAAAAUAAGGCUGAGACCAAUUGUGUAGGACAGAAAACGAGGUUGAGAUUAUAUUGGUAUCCAAAGCAGGAAGCGAAGGACAGUCCUUUGGGGGUGUUGAAAGGAAGUGUAAGAACCUCUAUUUAUAAUUUUAUAAGCAUUUAAGGUCAAGAAUGCCAGUGGUCCCUCUUUCAGUGUUU
rnacentral:lncRNA from 10 species